rnacentral:rRNA from 1 species
CCUACGGGCGGCAGCAGUAGGGAAUCUUCCACAAUGGGCGAAAGCCUGAUGGAGCAACGCCGCGUGGGUGAAGAAGGUCUUCGGAUCGUAAAACCCUGUUGUUAGAGAAGAAAGUGCGUGAGAGUAACUGUUCACGUUUCGACGGUAUCUAACCAGAAAGCCACGGCUAACUACGUCCCAGCAGCCGCGGUAAUACGUAGGUGGCAAGCGUUAUCCGGAUUUAUUGGGCGUAAAGGGAACGCAGGCGGUCUUUUAAGUCUGAUGUGAAAGCCUUCGGCUUAACCGGAGUAGUGCAUUGGAAACUGGGAGACUUGAGUGCAGAAGAGGAGAGUGGAACUCCAUGUGUAGCGGUGAAAUGCGUAGAUAUAUGGAAGAACACCAGUGGCGAAAGCGGCUCUCUGGUCUGUAACUGACGCUGAGGUUCGAAAGCGUGGGUAGCAAACAGGAUUAGAUACCCUUGUAGUC